rnacentral:rRNA from 1 species
GACGAACGCUGGCGGCGUGCUUAACACAUGCGAGUCGAACGGAAAGGCCCUGCUUUUGUGGGGUGCUCGAGUGGCGAACGGGUGAGUAACACGUGAGUAACCUGCCCUUGACUUUGGGAUAACUUCAGGAAACUGGGGCUAAUACCGGAUAGGAGCUCCUGCUGCAUGGUGGGGGUUGGAAAGUUUCGGCGGUUGGGGAUGGACUCGCGGCUUAUCAGCUUGUUGGUGGGGUAGUGGCUUACCAAGGCUUUGACGGGUAGCCGGCCUGAGAGGGUGACCGGCCACAUUGGGACUGAGAUACGGCCCAGACUCCUACGGGAGGCAGCAGUGGGGAAUAUUGCACAAUGGGCGGAAGCCUGAUGCAGUAACGCCGCGUGCGGGAUGACGGCCUUCGGGUUGUAAACCGCUUUCGCCUGUGACGAAGCGUGAGUGACGGUAAUGGGUAAAGAAGCACCGGCUAACUACGUG